rnacentral:rRNA from 1 species
UACAGAGGGUGCAAGCGUUAAUCGGAAUUACUGGGCGUAAAGCGCACGUAGGCGGUUCGUUAUGUCGGAUGUGAAAGCCCUUGGCUUAACCGAGGAAGUGCAUCCGAAACUGGCGAGCUAGAGUACGAAAGAGGAUCGCGGAAUUCCCGGUGUAGAGGUGAAAUUCGUAGAUAUCGGGAGGAACACCGGUGGCGAAGGCGGCGAUCUGGGUCGAUACUGACGCUGAGGUGCGAAAGCGUGGGGAGCAAACAGG